rnacentral:tRNA from 1 species
AGAGACUUAAGUUAUACAAACUAGUAGCCUUCAAAGCUGCAAAAGGGCCAAACACCAGUCUUUG